rnacentral:tRNA from 1 species
AAGAAAGUGACAGAGUGGUGAUGUGGUUGGCUUGAAACCAGCAUAUGGGGGUUCAAUUCCCUCCUUUCUUG